GGCGGUGGGGUCCCACACCUAGACAAUUAUUCAAAACAUCUAUUAUAUCAACAAAAAUACAGCCGAAUUUCAUAGAUUUGCAAUAUACUCACACGCAUAUUGAAUCAUAACCUAAAAUUUUUCAAUAGCAAACAUGCCGCAUUUUUAAGCGAAAAUCGCGUUUUUUGACUUUCCAAUGUGAUAACAUACCAUAACAAAAAGAAAGAUCCGACAGCGUUACCUGGGGAAAUUCAUAUGCAAAUAGAAUUAGCAGGGGUCCGUGGACCAAAAAAAGAGGGAGUAAGUUGCUCCAUAUUUGGUCCGGUCCGACAUUAAGUGCAUGAGGACUUAAGACCUCACAACCCUUAGAAAAAAAUAAAAGAAAAAUAUGUUCAGCACUGGCAGCGUCUGAUGAUUUGCCUCUGCCCUGAUGAUCGACUCAUGAGUUAUCGCCGCCACCACAAAGCUACUUUUUUUUGGAGAUUUGCUGCCAAUGGGUUAAUUUUUUAUAUUUUUCGCUGAAAUUUUCAACAAAUAUUUUAAACAUGUCAUUCUAU